UCACCAGUAUUCCCCGCAAAUGGCGGUCGUGUGUUUGCUUAUAGUGGAUAUGAGUGAAACACUUGAGACUAUUUCGUGAAAUUUUUCUUAUCAAAACUUUGAAUAUUCCGUAUGGGCCUCAUGUAAAAACCUUUGUUGCAUUGUUGCGUCCAAGUGCGAAGUGAUUUGGAGCGCAGGUGGCGAGUGAAACGUCGGAGUAAACUGCGUAAAUGCAAAGUGUUUGUGCCGCGAAAAGUGCGUUUUGUGGAGGAGACGAAUCUGUAUUGAAAGUGGAUUUUCCCGAUGGAGUCCGGGCUCGGGGUUCAGCGGUGCUAAGUGUUGCUUGCAUCUUUCCUUCGUUGGUCCGGAAAAGAACGUCGUGGAGUUCACGUCCGCACGCAUUCAGACACCAAUUUCUCGGAUCGUCGCGUCUCGAAUGGUUUUCAUGCUAAAUGUUACGAUAAAACAAUCGUAAAAAUUGCGAUUAUAAAGGGUAAUGGCGGCCUCCACUCAAGGAGAAAUACGAGUGGGUUCCGGCCACCAGGUAAACGAUGUCUAUGCGAAAUUGCCCGAUUAUAAUCCAAUCUCAAGCUUUCCUAUUGAUAAAGAAUCUGAAAGGGAAUUGGAAGAUCCCCGAUGGAGCCCUGGGGUUGUCCUAGAUGGAGAUCUAUUAAUGUAUUUGCGAGCAGCCCGGUCAAUGGCAGCAUUUCAAGAAUUUCCAACAGGAAUGUGUGAUGGUGGUCUUGAAGAUGGUUGUUUAGCGGCUAGCAGAGACGAUACAACAAUUAAUGCCCUUGAUGUGCUUCAUGAUUCUGGCUACGAUCCCGGUAAGGCUCUUCAAGCGCUAGUUAAGUGCCCUGUAACAAAAGGAAUUGAUAAAAAGUGGACUGAAGACGAGACAAAAAAAUUUAUUAAAGGAUUAAGACAAUUUGGCAAAAAUUUCUUUCGUAUACAUAAAGAUUUACUGCCGCACAAAGAGACUCCAGAGUUAGUAGAGUUCUACUAUUUAUGGAAAAAGACACCUGGUGCGAACAACAACAGGCCGCAUAGAAGACGUCGUCAAGGAUCCCUAAGACGUAAUCGUGUUACGCGUGCAAGCAAUACACCUCCCAAGAAGGAGGAGACCCCCGAACCACAAACGGAGUCUCGCCCUUCACCGAUCUCGAAGGAAGAGAACAGCUCUUUGACAGAAGACGACGCAAGCGAAUGCGACAGCGAUUCAAGUUUAACCAACAAACGUGACGAAUCACCAUCCCGUAUGCGAACAAGAAACAAACCAACAAAAGAUCUCCCGAACAGUAAACAACGGCCGAAACGGGGAUCGGAGACACCGGAUAAUACAAAUGAAAAUCCGAAAACGCCAACGAAAAAUGACGGGAAACGGAAAGGCGGUAAAAUUGACAAUCCCAGCAAGAAUAAGAAGCGGCCCAUCGACACCGACGGAGAUAUUAGUGAUGAGAAGGAGAAGCGUAAACGACCAGAUAGUCCUGAUGAGAGUAUGAACUCUGAUAGUAGACCUGAUUCCGUUCUGGAUGAAGGAGACAACACAAACGAAGCACCAGAUCCACCAGAUAUCAUAAGUGGACCUAAAGAUGGCAGAGAAGAUGAGAAUCUUCUAGAUCCAUUAGCUUUACCUCCGCCGGUGGCGGACUCUCCAACUGUUUUAGUUGGUUCGGAGAAAGAUAUGGCCCAAGACGAUGAGUCCAAUCAACAACAGGAGUCGCCACUGGAAAAGGACCCUCUAGAGGAUGCUGUACCUCCCACGCAAACACCAUGUGUUCCAGCAUCAAUUCCUUUACCAUUGCAGCUAUCGGAAGAUAUCACCGACAAAGAACAACAGCAAAGGGAACAGAAACAACAACAAUCACAACAAGUUCCCCAGGCGCAAUCCGUUGUACCACAACCAAUAUCACACUCAUCUUCAUUGGACGUAUCGUCUGAAGAAAAUUCUAAUAGUAGUUACCUUCCCAAAGAGCAAGAAAUGCUUAAUAAAAUAGCAAAUAUAAAACAAGAAUCUUGUGGUCUGCCUGUAUCUAUUCCGAGAGUGCCGCCUCCGUCGCAACAACCACAACAACUUCAUCAACAGCCGCAAUCAAUCCAGCAACCAACUGGACAUCAAGAAUCAUCGCAAUCACAGCAGCCACCACAGCCAAUGUCACAAGCUCCAUUCAAUCCGAUCGAUUAUUCACCUAAGGAUGUCUACAUUAAGAAAGAGCCCACAGAAGACUCAAUGGAUGCAUGCAAUCAAAACAGCAAUGAACCGCAGGAUCUCAAAGUGAAAAUUGAAAUCAAAACAGAAGUGAAGCCUCAAGUCGGGGAUCAAAUCAACGCGGACAUGCCAGAUGAAAAAUUCGAGCCGCAAUUACUCGAUGGCCAUUUGAAGUUUGGCGGUCCAGGCGGUGCAAUGAAGUAUCCGAGUGAAAUCGAUAUGAAAUAUGGCAGUGAUUCGAUCAAGUAUACCCAAGAAGGUCCUGUGAAAUUCGCAGCAGAUCUCAAAUAUCCACCUCCAUGUGAUCCUAUGAAGUACGGGCAAGAUAUGAGCGCCGGGGCGAAGUAUGAUAUGAAGUAUGGCAUGGAACCGGGUAAAUAUCCAGGCGAAAUGGGCCCGAAGUCCUACGGGGACCCAAUUAAAAUUCCAGAUUUGAAAGCAUACCAUCAAGAUGCAGGCAAAUACCCACCACCUGAGGGUGCAAUGAAGUAUCCUCCAAUGGGUGAACCUAUGAAAUAUACCGGACCAGAUGGCAAACCUCAUUACGUGCAGGAAUCUCACCAUCCGCUCGCCAGGUCGCCAUACGAUUCGAAUAUCAUGAUGAAAUACGGUGAUCCGAUGGCAAAAUACGGAUUACCGCCAGGACCAAAUAUGCAACCGCAAGAUCUGAAGUAUCCUCCGCCAGAUCCAGGGCCCCUGAAACCUCCAUAUCAUGGGGAAAAUUUGAUCAAGGGGUCUCCGUAUGCGGAGAGUCCGGCUGGUAAAUAUCCUCCACCAGAAAGUCCAAUUGACGCCUCUUCCCGCACAACACCGAAUCAGGAUAGUCAGAGUAGCAACAGCAACUCACAGUCACAAUUCCAUUCACCGCACCCGUCGCAAAAUUCAUCACCGAUAAUACCGCAGGUGUCGAAUCACGUCGGUAUGCAUCCACAAAAUUUGGUAGCCAGUCAUCCCGGUCUUCCAGGGUCAAUGCAUCCUGUGAGUCAUUCUCCUAUGGUUUCUACAAGUUCUUCGCCACCAGUCACUGCACCUAACAUGCCCGUUGUGACGUCCUCGGCGUUAAUGCCUCCCAGUGCAACAGCUACUUCCACCGGUCCUGCAGGGCCCAUGGUUUCAUCCGCACACCAUUCAAGUGGCGGUGGUCCUCCGAGUCAUUUGACUUUGCACAGGCCUCAUCAAGACAUCCCGCCGUCAAUACAUCAUGGUUCUGUGCCACAUCCUCUACCAGGUCACAAUUUACCACCAAGUCACCAUGUUCCCAUUUCGAAUCAAGUGAGGACACCUUCUCCGGGUCCGCAACGGGUGAGUGAAGGAAGCAAUAGUAACAGUGCAAUGAAUCCUAGAGAACCGAAUCAACAACCUCCACCACCACAGCAUAGAAGUUCUCCUCUGGCAGCUCUUCCUCCAAGUCAAAGUUCCCUGUUGGGUUCGAUUCCUCUGCAUUUGGGAUCCUCGGCGCCACCAGGAAUACCAUUAACACAUCCAGGGCAUCCAAGUCAUAUGAUACCGCCAACGCUAUCGGGCAGCGGGCCUCUGCCUCUGAUAAAUAAUUCGUUGAGUGGAAUGGGAGAGCCUUUGCCUGGCCGAAGGACGCCUCCAAAUGUGGUAUCGUCGGCAGCAACAGGACCACCAACUCCUGCUGGACCAACUUCAGCAUUCAGUCGGGCGAGUCCUAGUGUACAAAGCUCUUCAUUGCAUAGUACCUCAUCACAUCGGUCCGUUUCUCCUGCUCAGGCGUCAGGUAGCAUAAGUCGUGCUAGCCCAUUGCAUCCGGUUCCACAAAGUCCUCUGGGUCAUCAUUCAUCUGCAUCAGCGCUCUCUGCAGCAGCGGCAGCAGUUGCAGAACGUGACAGACAUGCAUUGCUUCGCCAGCAAUCUCCUCAUAUGACUCCACCGCCAGUGUCAAGCGCGUCAGCUCUAAUGGCUAGCCCCCUCAGUAAAAUGUAUGGACCGCAAGGUCAACGUGGAAUCGGUUCAGCUUCGCCGCCUCAUCAUCUACGACCCGGCGCAUCUCCUCCCGUCAUUCGACAUCCGCAAAUGCCGCUGCCGUUACCUAUCAUUGGACCAGGCGGUGCUAUGCCACCGAUGGGUGUUCAUCCAGCUCAAAAUCCAUAUCCGCAUCAUCUUUUGCAUCCAUCGAUGUUUUAUGCGCAUCAUCACAAUCCUUUCCCGUCACCAUAUCCGUAUCAUCCAUACGGCCCUGGAUUUACCCCUUACAUGAAACCACCCCCACCGACCGGCCCUAUGGAGCCGACAGUUAUAGCGCCUGUUCAUCAUCCAAGUAUUUCGGCACGAUCAGCUGAGGAGACGCCAAGUCAUUCGGAUAAAUCAUUGUCGAUGUCUAGUUCACAAAAUUCACAGCACAAGCAACAAAUUAAACCUCCCACACCAAAGACUCCCCAAGGAAAUAGUACGAGUACGACCCCAACAGGUCCACCACCAUCGCAGUAUCCGAGCUCACAUCCAUACCCGCCACAGCAUUCUUCCUUCCCUGAUAGUCAAUUAUCUAGUUCACAAGCCAAACCCACGAGUCAUAUGGACGCUUUGAGAGCGCACGCUCAUUCGGCAAGCAGCAGUUUGAGCAGUCAUCAUUCAACAGAACCCUUGCCAAUUGAGAUUGAACCGGAUCCAGAACCAGAGAUCCCAAGUCCCACGCACAACAUCCCGCGGGGUCCAAGUCCUGAAGCCAAACCAGACGAUACAGAAUGUCAUCGAUCUCAAUCAGCAAUAUUUGUUCGGCAUAUUGACCGUGGUGAUUACAAUUCAUGCACAAGAACUGAUCUUAUCUUUAAACCCGUGGCGGAUUCGAAGUUGGCACGAAAACGGGAGGAGCGCGAUCGAAAGUUGGCUGAGAAGGAAAGAGAAAGGCGGCAGCAACAACAACAACAGCAGCAGCAGCAACAACAACAGCAAGCACAAGCUCAACAGGCGGCACAGCAGGCGAAACUUAAGGCAGAACUCAAGCCUGCAUAUUCGGACACACCAGCACUGCGGCAGCUUUCUGAAUACGCGCGUCCACACGUUGCAUUUAGCCCUGUUGAACCGAUGGUACCACCAUAUCAUCACGCAAUGGGGCCCAUGUAUAGUAGAGAGAGGGAACUCGAGGAGCUUAAGAAUGCACAGGCAGCUGUUGCUGUGGGACAGUCUCGUUUGGAUCCACAUUGGGUAGAAUACUAUCGAAUGAGAGGGAUUCAUCCAUCACAAUUUCCCCUGUAUGCGAACCCAGCGGCAAUAUCUCAACUUGAACGGGAACGGCUUGGCAUACCACCGCCACAUCAUGUUGGUUUAGAUCCGAACGACCCAAUGAUACGAUUGACGGGAGAAUAUCACGCUCAUUCUCAUACUCAUUUACAUUUGCAUUCACAGCAACAACCGGAAGCCGGAUUUCAACUGCCACCGAAUGUUCCACCAUAUCCGAGACCGAAUAUGCUGAUCCCGCGGGAGCCCCAUUCUGAUGUGUUACUUCGAAUGUCGUAUGCCGAUCAACUUCAGUAUUUGCAGGCCGCUGAAUUUCACCGACAGUCUUUGGAUCGGGCCCAUUCGUUACAUGAGCAAUAUUUCAGACAAAGACCGAGAUAAGAGGCCAUGCGGGAUUCUUCUGUUCAGUAAUAUUAAGAGAAACGUUACAAAAAAUUGAGCUAAAACUUUCGGGUAAAAAUAAUCUUUAAUAAGUAAUAAAUAUCCAUUGCUAAGCUAAUAAACACAUAAUGAGAAACUGUAACGGAAUCAUCAAGACAUCAUGAAAACACAAAAUAGUCUCAAUGAAACGACGUCAACAGUUUUCGGAGGAUGCAGUGCGUGCGCACCAUUUAAGUUUCUGUGUCGAAACACUCAAAGCAAAAUAUCUAACACAAUUAAGUCGAGUGUUGUAUGAAAUUUACCUAAUUUAUUCUGAUUUUUAGUCUAUUUUAUACUAUUCGGUGUGAAUAAUCGAUAAUAUGAGUUUUUGUGUGAGAUAAUUUCAAAGGAAAUAAUUUAAUUUAAGCAAUUUUCUCUGUAUGAAAUGAUCAAGUUGGAAGGGAGAAUGGUAUAGGAAUGUCGUUUUACCAAUAUUCAAACGAAAUCUUGCCUUGAAGAUUGAUUUAUCGUGUUGGAAAUUUCGGUUUCAUAAAGUCUUAAUGUUGAGAAUAAGUCGGUCCAGAUUUACUCAUUUGUAAACUAAUACAGUCAUCAAAUUACCGAGCAUUUUCGUGAAUUGUAAGGCACAAUCGAGUAGUGCGUUUUAGAAGAAAAGAGUAUCAAUCCAAAGUAUUGAUUUCGGGAAAUAAUUAAGAAGCUGCUUUCGGUAGCAAACGCGAAACGGACGCAAUAAGAUUUUAGUUGCAAGAUGAAUAGAUAUUGAUUUGUUUAUUACUGCACACCACCAGCCAUCGGCAGAGAAAGAGGAUCUAACAGGCGAUACUUAGGUACCAACUUAGAACAGCAACUAAUUUUCCAAUUUGCCAAAUAGUGAGGAUAGUUUGCGAAUAAAUUGAGAAGGAUAUAUUUUUCUUAGUCUAAGAUUUUCCAAGUACUAAAUUAUUCAUUACUCUUAAAUUGCUAUCGAUAAUAUAUAAUUUGAUUUAAGCAAAUAUUCAUGUAUUUGACAUAAUGUGUUCUUUAAAGUAACCUUUGAUUCUACAAUUAUUGUAAUCUAGAUUUGAAAUUCGAAUUCGUGUGCUAGCGCUCUCUCAUACUUAAAUCUUUAUGCAAGUGCAAAAUGCACACACAACACAACAACAAUCGUUGCUUCCUUAAAUAUGGCAUGUUCUUGAUUUGUGCUAACAUUACGGAAAAAUUUAUUUUCAUUAUUGUGAUUGUAACAAAUUUUAAUGUUACGAAAUAAUUAUUAGCUUUCUGUUGCUAUUCGGAAAAUUUUUCUCUAUAAGUUAAUUCGUAGGAAAUAUCAUAAACGAAAGUAUUUGACUAUAUUUUUACAAUUGACUAAGAUAGGAACGUUUAGUGUUUAGGAGGAAAAGCUUUAGUCUUUAUUCCAGUGGUGAAACGCUAACAUUUGAAUUUCGAGCAACAAAAAUAUCUAUAUUUCUGGGAAAAUUCAGGGAUCUUAAUAUGUUUAGGGAAAUGGCGGAGUCCAGUGACAUGAAAGGAGGGGGGAUAUAAAUGAAGUCGUGAAAACGCGAGAAAUUAGAAAAUAUUUCGUUUUAAUUUUGUUAUUGCAAGUUUGCACCGAAAUUUCGAGACAGUUAUCCUUGGCUGUCGUCUAAGCUAAAUGUGAUAGAAGACUACCAAUUUCUGUUACAAGCUUAGGAAGCUUCUGGUUUUUAUUUGCGGCGUCAAAAACCAUUGAAACUGCCACUUAGAUUUAUAUUUGUUAUAUUUUCCGUUUUAGAAUUUUGUUAGUAACGAUUUCAACCCAAUAAUAAUUUAUGUGCAGCAAUAAACUUAGAUUUCGAAAACAAAAGAAAGGAAAGAGAAUUUCACAUUCUAAAUCUGAAUAGUGAAUAGUUUUUACCGCUCCCAUUGAUCAGGCGUGAAACAUUUCCUUUCUGCAGGCAAUGGACACGAAACAUUAUGUAAAAAGAUCGAGUAAACAAAAGAAACAUUUUUUUUAAAUAUAUCUUUCUUUGAAAGUGAACAAUUAUUACUUAAAUUUAAGUUAAUGGAUAAGAUUGUAGUUUGAUUAUGUAUAUGUAACGGUAAGCUACAAAAGGUAUAAAGUUUGAUUUAGAUAUAUAAAAUAUUAAAAAAAAAAAGAAAAGAAAAGAUCAUUCUAUUUAAAUGAACGCUAUAUAAAUACAAAUAUAUAAAAAUAAAGGAUUUAGAGUAAGGAGUGUACUAUAUCAAAAAUAUAUGAUAAGAAAAUAAUUUUGUAGAUGAGAAUUCGAAAAAAAAAUAAUUGAAGGAUAAAAAAAAUAAAAUAUUGUAUUUUAUUGCAA